rfam:Ipomoea nil DNA, scaffold: scaffold2191, cultivar: Tokyo-kokei standard.
GCUCUUGUAGCUCAGUUGGUUAGAGCACCCGUUUAGUAAGCGGGAGGUCUUGACUUCAACUCUCAACAAGAGCA